GAUGAAGAACGUAGCGAAAUUCGAUAAGUAAUGUGAAUUGCAGAAUUCAGUGAAUCAUCGAAUCUUUGAACGCACAUUGCGCCCGCCAGUAUUCUGGCGGGCAUGCCUGUUCGAGCGUCAUUACAACCCUCAGGCCCCCGGGCCUGGCGUUGGGGAUCGGCGGAAGCCCCCUGCGGGCACAACGCCGUCCCCCAAAUACAGUGGCGGUCCCGCCGCAGCUUCCAUUGCGUAGUAGCUAACACCUCGCAACUGGAGAGCGGCGCGGCCACGCCGUAAAACACCCAACUUCUGAAUGUUGACCUCGAAUCAGGUAGGAAUACCCGCUGAACUUAAGCAUAUCAAUAAGCGGAGGA
rnacentral:misc_RNA from 1 species